rnacentral:rRNA from 1 species
CCUACGGGUGGCUGCAGUGGGGAAUAUUGGACAAUGGGCGAAAGCCUGAUCCAGCCAUGCCGCGUGUGUGAAGAAGGCCUUCGGGUUGUAAAGCACUUUCAGUGGGGAAGAAAGCCUUGGGGCUAAUACCCUCGAGGAAGGACAUCACCCACAGAAGAAGCACCGGCUAACUCCGUGCCAGCAGCCGCGGUAAUACGGAGGGUGCGAGCGUUAAUCGGAAUUACUGGGCGUAAAGCGCGCGUAGGCGGUCUGAUAAGCCGGUUGUGAAAGCCCCGGGCUCAACCUGGGAACGGCAUCCGGAACUGUCAGGCUAGAGUGCAGGAGAGGAAGGUAGAAUUCCCGGUGUAGCGGUGAAAUGCGUAGAGAUCGGGAGGAAUACCAGUGGCGAAGGCGGCCUUCUGGACUGACACUGACGCUGAGGUGCGAAAGCGUGGGUAGCAAACAGGAUUAGACACCCGAGUAGUC